AUUGAACGCUGGCGGCAUGCCUUACACAUGCCAGUCGAACGGCAGCACGGGUGCUUGCACCUGGUGGCGAGUGGCGAACGGGUGAGUAAUACAUCGGAACAUGUCCUGUAGUGGGGGAUAGCCCGGCGAAAGCCGGAUUAAUACCGCAUACGAUCUACGGAUGAAAGCGGGGGACCUUCGGGCCUCGCGCUAUAGGGUUGGCCGAUGGCUGAUUAGCUCGUUGGUGGGGUAAAGGCCUACCAAGGCGACGAUCAGUAGCUGGUCUGGGAGGACGACCAGCCCAAACGGGGACUGGACACGGGCCAAACCCCCUAGGGGGGGCAGCGGGGGGAAAUUUGGGAAAAGGGGGAAAGGCUUAACCAGGAAAGGCCGGGGGUGGAAAAAGGGCCUCGGGGUUGAAAAGCCCUUUUUUCGGGAAAAAAAACCUUGGCCCUAAAUCGGUCGGGGGAGGACGGAACCGAAAAAAAAAGCACCGGCAACCAACGG
rnacentral:rRNA from 1 species